UUAUCUGAGUUGGGUCUUUAUAGCUUUUGCUUUUCUAUAUAUUUGCUCAUUUAAACUUACCAUAUUCCAUAGUACUAAACAUUUGUAGGUCAUGGUAGCCACAGGUAAAACCAUGAAUGCCUCUUCACUACACAGUAAGAAAAAAACAACUUUUCUAUACAAGUCUGGUAUUCAUGAAAAACGGUAACCUGAACACAUUUAGUAUGGAGAUAAAUGCAAAAAUGACCAUAGCUUCAUAACAAACAAUUGUUAUUCUAUUAUUUCUGUAACAGUUAAUACAGGCUUGAGUCCUGUCUUACUGUGGAUGUCUGAUGGCAAGUUGGAUGGAGUGAUUUUUACAAUGGCAACCCACAGACUCAAUGUGGACACCUUGUUGUAAAACACUUUUUUAUUAUUAUUAUUAACUGUAUUAUAUUUAUUCCUUUUGAUAUAUGAGUGAUGUGUCUGGCACACAUUUUCUUGUUCUCUAGUUUCCUUGAUUCUUCUGCCUUGGCUGCACGCUGUGGAAACCUGACCUGGUGAGGACCCUCUCCUCCAUCCUCAACUAUUGAACCUCUUAUAUCACUCGGAUGAGGUGUUCUGGAUCCAGACUGGAGCUUGUGUUAAUCCUAGUUACCACGGGAUGAAGAUCCAGCAGAAACAGAGAAACAAAUAGAGACAUCAUUAGCAUAGCUGCUAAUACCAGCCUGUGAUCUCCUAAGACACCCAGAUUCAGCCCUGGUCACGAUCUGUCCCACACCUGUGUCUCAUCACAGUCCAUCACCAGUGUCUGCACCCUGCCUACUGCCAAUAUUAUGGAUUUCUGUUCUGGAGAGAGAUGCCAUUCACAACAUAAUCUCUACACAAUAUCAAACUCAAAUAAUUUAAUCUUGCCUAACAGUUUCCCUGAUUUGUUACAGUUUACAAUGUAGCAUGGUCUUGCCUAACUUUGUCCAUUCAG